GGCGGAGGGGCGGGGGUCACUCAGCCCGGCUUGCGAGAGAGCGUAGGCCAGGCCAUGGGACCCCACCAGUGCAUG
rfam:Myotis lucifugus cont2.34540, whole genome shotgun sequence.